CGCUGGCGGCGUGCCUAACACAUGCAAGUCGAACGAGAAAGCGGGGGCAACUCCGCGAGUAAAGUGGCGACCGGGUGAGUAACACGUGACUAACCUACCCUCGAGCGGGGGAUAACCCCGGGAAACCGGGGCUAAUACCGCAUAACAUCCUCGAUACGAAAGUCUUGAGGAUCAAAGGAGCAAUUCACUUGAGGAGGGGGUCGCGGCCGAUUAGCUAGUUGGUGGGGUAAUGGCCCACCAAGGCUGAGAUCGGUAGCCGGCCUGAGAGGGCGCACGGCCACACUGGAACUGAAACACGGUCCAGACUCCUACGGGAGGCAGCAGUGGGGAAUUUUGCGCAAUGGGGGGAACCCUGACGCAGCAACGCCGCGUGGAGGAUGAAGUCCCUUGGGACGUAAACUCCUUUCGACCGGGAAGAUAAUGACGGUACCGGAAGAAGAAGCACCGGCUAACUCUGUGCCAGCAGCCGCGGUAAUACAGAGGGUGCGAGCGUUGUUCGGAA
rnacentral:rRNA from 1 species